rnacentral:snRNA from 1 species
AGCUUUGCACAGUGGCAUGAUUGUAGUCAAUGAGGUUUAUCCAGGGUGCCAUUAUUGCUAAUUGAAAAUUUUUCUCAAUACUCCACCAUGACUAUAGUUGCCACCAGAGUGGAGUGCAGUGGAUCUCAGCUCACUGCAAGCUCUGCCACACACUGUGUUACCCAGGAUCUCAAAGUGCUGGGAUUGACAAUUUUUGACAGUCUCUACAGAGG